rnacentral:rRNA from 1 species
UACGUAGGGGGCUAGCGUUGUCCGGAAUCAUUGGGCGUAAAGAGCGCGUAGGCUGCCAGAUAAGUCCGGUGUGAAAGUCACAGGCUCAACCUGUGAAUGCCGCUGGAAACUGUCUGGCUAGAGUCCGGAAGGGGCGAGUGGAAUUCCUGGUGUAGCGGUGAAAUGCGUAGAUAUCAAGAGGAACACCUGAGGUGAAGACGGGUUGCUGGGCCGACACUGACGCUGAGUGCGCGAAAGCCAGGGGAGCAAACGGG